UUCCAGACUCUUCCUUCAGAAUGCAAUUUCUCAUCUUGGCUGGCCUUUUGAGCAUUGCCACUGCUCUGCCCAUCCCUCUUGAACAAUUUGAAGGAAGUACCAGUGAACAGAGAUUUGGCUUUUACCCACCACCAGGACCACCAUUUUUUCCCCAGAUCCUGUUUCCCC